rnacentral:rRNA from 1 species
CUGCUGCCUCCCGUAGGAGUCUGGCCCGUGUCUCAGUACCAGUGUGGGGGACCUUCCUCUCAGAACCCCUACGCAUCGUCGGUUAGGUGGGCCGUUACCCCGCCUACUGCCUAAUGCGCCGCAUGCCCAUCCCUGUCCGGCCGAAGCCUUUCCUGCCUCCGGGAUGCCCCGGUGGCAUGUACGCGGGUUUAGCCCGCCUUUCGGCGGGUUGUCCCCCGACAGGGGCAGGUUGCAUACGUGUUACUCACCCGUGCGCCGGUCGCCGGCGGAGAAAGCAAG